rnacentral:rRNA from 1 species
ACUCAAAUGAAUUGACGGGGACUCGCACAAGCGGUGGAUUAUGUGGCUCAAUUCGUCGGUAAACGAAGAACCUUACCAAGGUUAGAAAUCCAGCUGCAUCCGACCCGAAAGGGACGGAGCCUUCGAGGGUGCUGGACAGGUGGUGCACGGCUGUCGUCAGUUCGUGGUUUGAACUGUUCCCUUCAGUGGGGUAACGAACGCAACCCACGUUGCCUGUUGCCUAUAUGGUCAGGCGAGACUGCUCCCUCACGGGAGAGGAAGGUGUGGACGACGCCAAGUCAGCGUGCCCCUCUGAUACCUUGGGCUGCACACAUAAUACAAUGGUGAUCUACAACGGGAUGCAAGGCCGUAAGGCGGAGCAAAUCCUUUAAAACUCACCUCAGUACGGAUCGAGGUCUGCAACCGACCUCGUGAAGCCGGAAUCGCUAGUAAUGGCAGGUCAGCUAAACUGCCGUGAAUACGUUCUCGAGUCUUGUACACACCGCCCGU